CCCGCUUUCAAGGUGGGUACUGCUUUGGAAACUGAGUGGCUUGAGUGCAGGAGAGGUCAGUGGAAUUCCCAGUGUAGCGGUGAAAUGCGUAGAGAUUGGGAGGAACACCAGUGGCGAAGGCGACUGACUGGACUGUAACUGACGCUGAGGCGCGAAAGUGUGGGGAGCAAACAGGAUUAGAUACCCUGGUAGUCCACACUGUAAACGAUGAAUGCUAGGUGUAGGGGGUAUCGACCCCUUCUGUGCCGCAGUUAACACAAUAAGCAUUCCGCCUGGGGAGUACGGCCGCAAGGUUGAAACUCAAAGGAAUUGACGGGGGCCCGCACAAGCAGCGGAGCAUGUGGUUUAAUUCGACGCAACGCGAAGAACCUUACCAGGUCUUGACAUCCAGGUAAAGCCGUAGAGAUACGGUGUGUGCUUGCACAAUCUGAGACAGGUGGUGCAUGGUUGUCGUCAGCUCGUGUCGUGAGAUGUUGGGUUAAGUCCCGCAACGAGCGCAACCCUUGUUUUCAGUUGCUAACAGGUGAAGCUGAGCACUCUGAAGAGACUGCCGGGGACAACUCGGAGGAAGGUGGGGACGACGUCAAAUCAUCAUGCCCCUUAUGACCUGGGCUACACACGUGCUACAAUGGCCACCACAAAGAGAGGCGAAUUCGUAAGGAAGAGCGGAUCUCAAAAAAGUGGUCCCAGUUCGGAUUGUGGGCUGCAACCCGCCCACAUGAAGUCGGAGUUGCUAGUAAUCGCGGAUCAGCAUGCCGCGGUGAAUACGUUCCCGGGCCUUGUACACACCGCCCGUCACACCAUGGGAGUUGGGAGUGCCCAAAGUCGGUGGGAUAACCGCAAGGAGUCAGCCGCCUAAGGCAAGACCAAUGACUGGGGUGAAGUCGUAACAAGGUAA
rnacentral:rRNA from 1 species